GUUGUGGCUUAGUGGUAGAGUGCCUGCCUAGCACUUGGAGACAUUGGGUUCAAUCCUCAGCAGAACA
rnacentral:tRNA from 1 species